GGCUAUAAGAGUGAAUAGUCAGGGAGGAAGGAGAAGAGCCUGUAGCUCGAGUGGACAAGGAGCAGCCUCUGAAGGGUAGGGAGGAUGGGGCCAGGCCAGGAAGGGCAGGGCUGCGGAGAAACCACAGGGCCGCAGGGCCCAGACUGGCUGCAUCUGCACAGCUCAUGAGAAGCUUUCACUUUCAUCAAUCCGGAGGGCAGACAAGCAGCGCAGUAACGUCUGCUUCAUGAAGACAGCAGAGGACGUGUCGGACAAUCUGUGCAGGGGGACCCACCUUCUGACUCUCCGCGUUCAGGGCUCCAUUGAAAAUCAGACUCAGAAGGUCCAGCAGGGAGGGCGGAGCCCGACAGCCCAGAGCAGAGGCACCAGUGCUCUCCGGUGGAAGCAGGCGUUCCCCAGAGGCUCGUGAGCCCAGAGAACAAAGUGCUGGGGGAACAGCCCGGAAGCUGGAGGUACUCCAUCCACAUCAGGUCCCGAGGGGCAGAAAGAACACACCGAGAGGGCGCCUGGUGUUCACAGACCAGGGCGGGUGGAACUUAGCCUGGAACCGUGGACGGGAUCCCAGAAGUCACCAGUCACACACACACAGGCCAGGGUGACCUGGAACUGCGAGGUGAGUCCUACUUGCUCCUGCACCUGGCUUGUAUGGUCACGGAAACAGCACAGUGACACAGAACACACAGGACCGUGAGAGGUGCUGAGUCCACACACAUGGCCAUGAGCCGAACCAUAGCAUCACAUCAUGACACACAUGUGGCCCAAGACUUCACGGGCUCCUACAUGACUGUGGGUAGUAUUUUUUCCAUUUCCUUUCAUUCUGUUAUCAAAAUGACUUAAUAGCAAAAAGAUCUAAAAACAAAAGCAGCUAGAGGAACCCA